rnacentral:misc_RNA from 1 species
GAAAUGCGAUAAGUAGUGUGAAUUGCAGAAUUCAGUGAAUCAUCGAAUCUUUGAACGCACAUUGCGCCCCUUGGUAUUCCAUGGGUCAUGCCUGUUCGAGCGUCAUUUGUACCCUCAAGCUCUGCUUGGUGUUGGGUGUUUGUCCCGUCUCCGCGCGUGGACUCGCCCCAAAGUGAUUGGCAGCCGGCGUACUGGUCCCGGAGCGCAGCACAUGUCGCGCAAACGAGUGCCUUGGUACGGCGGCGUCCAUAAGCCCCUCUCUCACGCUCUUGACCUCGGAUCAGGUAGGGAUACCCGCUGAACUUAAGC